ensembl:lncRNA
UUCCUGUCCAAGGAAAGCAAGUGACUAAAUAGACUAAGAACAAGGAUCUGCGAAUCAUGUAACAUCACAUACGCAAAGAAAAGUAGCCUGUGGCAAAGAAAACACAUUGUCACCAGCUAAGAGAGCUGCUGCUGGACGGAAGGCUCUAAUGGCUUUGCUAGAGCUUCUGAGGAAUCCACGUUAACCUCCUGCUCAGUCUUUUGUGGAAGAGAUUAACCACAAGAGCAGCACCAUCGGCCCAGCCCCACUUUGCAGACAGCUGCCUGUGUGGACAGACUCAGUUUGAACCCAGACUUGUGUCCCGCUGGAGACUCCUCUGAAGGCGGCGGCUGAGUCAGGCUUUUUGAAGCGACCAUGCUUUCCGGAGCUCACCGAUUACUGAAGCUGUCUACUGAUGAGGACGUCCUGAUUCCCCGAAGCUGAGGUCGUGAACUUAGAGCAUAUUUUUAAAACUGUGUUAGAGAUCAUUUCAACAUUCAUGUGGGGAUGAGAAAAAAAAAUUUGACGAAUAAUUUAAAUGGUUACAUCUUGGCCCUGCCUAGGAUUGUGGAUUCAACCACAGUGUGACAAUGGGAUUACUGUGCAUGGUAUAUUUAAAUUCACCCCACAAAUGGCCUUGUUUUUUUAAAGGGACAGUCUCAUUCUAGAAUUAGAAAGAAAAAUGCUUUGGAAACCGAAAGAUCUCGCAAGCAUGUUCAGACAUUACUUCAUUGGCCCCUGUAGCCCCUUUCUAUCUCCCUUUUGAUUCGGUUCAGAUGCUGUGGCAAAGGAGGGUGCUGGGCCAAGGCCAGCCCCCUGCCAAUGCAGAGGUGUGCCUCAAAGAGGAUGGCACACACCCUGUGACAGCCGAGAGAAAACAGUGGUUGGCAGUUUGGUGUGGGAUUGGCAGCUGCCUUCCUUCUGUCCCUGGGGGUGCCAAAUGGGGGCAGGAGAGAAGAAGACUUUCAGAGCCGACUCAGUGACUCUGGGCUUGGUGACUCGGAGCCCAGAAGGCCCUGGGAGCCCCUGCCCACCCACUCCUUGGGGGGCCAGUAAGGGCAUUUGGGAAAGGGCUCCAGGCCCUCAGUCAUCAUUUCAAAGCAAUCAGCCCCGAUUUUAUCUCCCUAAACUGUAACCCAACCUCCUGCUUCUACACACGAGGAAAAUGAGUCCCAAGGGAGUAAAGGGCCCCACCUAAGGUCACGAGGGGAGUAGUAGCAAGCCAAACCUCUUGGUCCCAAAAAACUGGGCAGGGAGGAAAAAUUGAGCAAGCAGGAGAAGGGAGAGAAAGAGAAGAAAAGGACAGAAGGAGAAAAUAAAGUGUUGGACGUGUAGGACGUUUUUGCGUUCCUGACCAUGAUCUGCAGCCUGCUCACCACCCUGCAUGUGGCCUGCAUGUGACCUCACUGACCAUCCUGUGGGACACGCACCGUGGGAAGCGGCUGGAGACAUUCAAGGGAAGCAUACACCUUGGCCACUGCUCCUAUAGGAAUGGAAACUCCAGAAACGGAGCAUCACACCUGUCCCAGGCACUGUACACACAUGACCUCAUUCAAGAAAACUUGUUGCCCAUUUAGGAGUAACCUGCUCCUGCCGCUCGUGGGUUUGCUGAGGCAGGGCCCUGCUCCAUGGGCCCACCCUUCUCUGCAUCUGUGCACACCCACCUAUCCCCACAUUAUGAAUACCCACUGGGUUCCUGGCACAGGAGAGCUGAGAAGGCCUGUGAAGGCACUGGGGGAAAAAUAAAAGAAAUGGUAAUCCUAGUCAACAUGGUAAUAUUCUUCCUCUCUCUUUGCGACCUAAACAAGAAUCUUCCGUAUAGUUUAAAAAACAAAACGAAACAAAAGGCAGCUGGGAGGAAGGAAACAUUAUCUUCUCCAACACCCUAGCUCUCAAUGUCCAUUAUUUCCUGGGAUUGAGUGAGGUUUUUGGCAGGAAAGGACAUUGUUCUGUUUCUCAAUUGAGUGGUGGAUGGUAAAGGUUUUCUGGACUUGUUAAACUUAAAGGAAAGAGUGACACUGCCCUAAGCCUUGUGCCACACGCGGCCAGCCUCACUUUUUAAGGAGCUGAGGUGAUGGAGUGACACCCAGGACCUGCAGGUGAGAUGGGGGACAGAAGCAGCAGAGCCUUUGGCAUCACGCAGCUGCCCCCGUGGCAGCGCCCCCCACCCCUCGGGGUCGCAAUGGCAUUUCUCCCGCUGGUGAGCAGGAAUGUGGUUAGAAAAGGGGACAAAUGAAAAAGGGAGAGUCCUCGUGCCCCUGGCUGAAGGUGGCUGCCAAGGGGCGAGAGGGUCAGCGGACGCCUGCCACGGCGGGCAUGGUGCCUGGAGGGACCCAGAAAGGAAAUGUUCUGUCUUGCUUUGCUGGCUAAUUGUUCUUCCUCUGUGGCUCCCGAAGUCGGUUAUGCUCUCCCUAAGACCAAGAGUCAUCUGCCUGAUGCUCCUCCUCUCCAGAGCUGCGAAAGGCAGUCCCGGAGAGCCCAGCUCCUCCAGGAGGAAUGAGAGCGGAGCAGCGAUCUGGGCAUCGGUGAGAACUCUGCGGGCAAGCGAUGAAGUGGAAAGUCUGCACACCCCUGGCGGGCCGGAAAUGUGAGCUUACCUUCAGUUCCUCAUGAGGCCUGGGGCAGGACAGACACACAGGAUGUGACCAACACAGAUUUGUGGAGAUUUUGCACGAAGAAAAGGAGAGCAGGAUGGCAAUGUUUCCUGGAAGCCUGUCUCUUGCCCAGGGAAAACCCCAGAAUGGUCAGUGCCACCUACUCUCCUCCCUUUCAGAAAGGACUAACUGAUCCUCCUCUUGCCCUGACUGUAAAUUCUGAACUGACUUCCUAAGAAUACGUCAGACCUUGGAAGGAGAAAGAGCAUAUUGGCUAAAGGAAGCCCCACCACAUUCUCACAUUCACAGAAACGAGCAGGAAGCGGAUGCAGGGACACGGUCUUUGGAAAUAGGUCAAGUAAAGGGAAUGGCUUGGAAAAUCACCUUCCAUUUGCCUUCAGAGGCUAUUAAACAGUAAAGGAGAUUCCCAAAGGAAGAGGUGAGAUGUCUGCCCCCAUCGAUCUCUAUAAAUAGUCUAAAUACUCAGCAUUCUGGAAUGAUUCAAGGUGUGAUGGCCCUGGCUGAGGGCAGGAGAAGAAUGAGGGCACCCCUCGUGGUUCCCCCACCUGUAGGAUUGUUCAUGGAAGCUGUGGUUUUGUUGUUCCAGCCAAACUCACCAGAACAUAUACUCUCUCUGAGCAUUCUUAUUCAUAUCGUGUAAGUAACUUGAUAAGCAUUUCCUGAAUCUUCCUGGCGCUGUGAAAAUAAUGACCCAGCUUAUACACACUUUCCAGGAAUGGAUGAAGUGAGACGCAUCUGCAGAUCAGCCUUCCUCACAGCCUACGGUGUCCAUGCCCAAACACCCCUCUCCAGCCACGAAUGUCCUAACUCCACUUUUGAGCUUCACAGUCUUGGCUGUUCUUUUUUGCUUUGUCUCCAAGCUCUGAUGACUGGGCAGUGCACCUAUUAAUCUUGAAUGCAAUGAAGUCUCUGCCACUUCCAUUUGAAAAAGAAAUAGCUUUGCCUUUUCCAUUUGAUUCGACAGCAUGAAAUAUUUAUGAUUCCUCUGGCACCUCCAAGCCCCUUCUCUCCCAUCGAUUCUCUCAGUCAGCACUAAGUGCUCACUUUAACGAGAGUACUUCCCGUCCAUCAGGGAAAGCCCAGGAUGACAACAUUCAGUGAGCCCAGCUGCUCCGCAUCCACUGGGUCACUAGCAAACCUCCUGGUGCUCACAUUGGGGGCUCUUGUGGGUUUCCAAUCCACUCUGCCAAAGAUUACUGGCCCCCGGGCCUCUGGGGUCCUGCUUUUCCUUCUUGUCUUCUUCCACCUAGGGGUUCCUGCUACACACAAACAGGACUGGCCUCUUUGGGUCUCCUGUGACUCAGAGGCUAAGUCGGGGCAAUUGGGGGCGCAGCUGCUCUGGGAGGCCCACUGCAGAUCCCCAGAGGACUGGGACUCUGAGCAGUUUGAGUGACGUGGGAGGUGGGUAGGUCUUCCAGAGGAGAAAGUACCCAUGUUGCUAUUCUUGAGGCUGACCAGAGGUUUUCCUGUUGCCUCUCAAAAGUGACUCCUGCUCUCUCCCUGCCGGUCCCCAAACAAUACUCCUGACUUCACUGUGCCAGUAAUUCCUCCAAGCUCACUCACUGUCAUAGGGGCAGAAAAUAGUGCUGGAAAUGGUGGGAACACUGAUCCCAACUGACCAAGGAAAAGAUAUAGAGUUCUAUAAUCACCAACCCUUUCUGUGCCUCAACUCCUGGGGAUAAUAGUGGUCAUCUCCAUCCUGAGUGAUUAAAGAGGGUUAUAUAUAAUAGAUGUCAAGAGCUUAAAACAAUGCCUGGUAUUUAGUAAGUGCUCAGUAAACAGGAGCUGUUAUUCUUGUAACAUUGUCAGAGUUAUUUGACAAGGCCAUGGCAGGCCCAGCCAUCGACGACAGGGAGAUGUCUCUGGCAGAUGGCAGGGAGACACAGUGGUGGGCUGAAAGCCAGGGAGCAAAGAGAACUAAAAUGGGGCAACUGCUGCCUCAAGCUGGAAGCCCCUGUGUACUUCCUGCUUUCAGCCCAGAGCCAGCAAGUGGGAGGAGCGUGCAAAGUAUGUUGAGCAGUAGGUUAACUAGGCUGACCCCAUGCCCCCAGGCUCUAGUAGCAUCGUCUAUACAUGGGAGUUCAAUGGAUCCUGAAUGUCUAGAUUUAUGGUCAGCAUCCUCUCCAUCCUAUUUUUGCAUCUUCUUAGUGUCCCAAGUGUUUUGCAUAAGGAAGAACACCAUCCUCUCUCUCCCCUCAGUGCCUACCAUCAGAACAUAACUGUCAGGGAGCCCAAACUCCCAGAGUCCAGCACUUUGCCAACUGUGUAACUAUGUCACUGCACAGUGGUUAAAAACAAGAGUUUGGGAGUAAGACAGACUGGGUUCAAAUGCUAGCUCUGAUACUUGGUACCUGGGACAAGCUAUUUAACCUCCAGAAGCCUCAGUUUUCUUAUUUAUGAAAUGAGGAUCAUAAAGUUGUCACUCAUAAACUAGGGGUUUUAUUAGAUAUUGCAAGCAAAGAGAUCAGCAAAGUGCCUGGCUCAUACUAAGCACUAAAAUAAAUGUGGGUUAAUAUGGCCACUAUUGUUCACGAGUUAAUACACUUAACCAGAGGACAGUUGACUUUCACUGAACCUUCCAGAGUCCACACCACAAGGCUAUCAGAAUGGAAAUUAAUGGUGGAUACAUUGUGCAGGCCAAAGGGAGAGAGAGUUAUGAACAAUUCAUUCUCUGGACAGAUACUCCUUCAGUGCCAGCAAUGGAAUGCUACCUCCUUGACCAAGGAAAGCAAAGGGAAGGAAAGCCUGCUACUGGGCUGGAAGGUGAACUGAACUCAUUCAGCCCUUCUCUAUGUCAAGGAGGCAGGGUGGGGAGAGACAGAACAAAUAGAAAACUGAUUCAGAGUCAAAUGCACUCAACCUGGCAACUGGGCCAAUUUCAGUCACAAAGUUAUUUUAAGUGGUGGCAACAGGAGGUUGGUUUGAGGUGGCUUAAUUACACUGUCUGCCCUGCAAAACAUGCAAAAACUGGAGAACAUAACAGAAAUGAUUAACAGUCACUAUGGCUAACCUGGUACAUUCUCCUGAAAUCUCAUACACGGGCUGGUGCUUAAACGGUGCUGCCCAGCCCCUCCCGGGCGGACCCUGCAAGGAGGCAUUAGCUGUGAUGUCCCUGAUGUGAAACUCCUGGGCCCUCCUGGAAAGGGUUGGGCAAACACAGUUGCUUGAUGCAGCUCCAUUUGCCCAACGGGUGUCAGCAUGUUGUUGCAGUAGAAGAUGUUACACUCGGCCACGCUGGCACUUUCUCCAUCUGUUUACAUUUAGAAUGGGACUCGUUGCCAAAGUUGAGGAAUCCCAGUGCCCACAAUCCAGAAAGCACAGGCCAAAGGGUGGAAAUAAAAACAAAUUGAGAAAUGACUUGUUGCUAACUUAGUUGGAUUCAGAAGGACUAGGAAUUUUCCCCUAGAGUGUUCAGUCCCAGAGAGGAGGGUCUCAGUGAUAGAAAACGAGUUCAUCACCUUAACAAUGGGCUACCUUCUCCACCACCAGCAGACCGUGAGCUCCUCAAGGCAGGCAGGGACAUGCUGAAUUAUUCUUAGUUUUCCCAGCUGAGAGCCUAGUAUCUGUGCUUCAUAAAUGCUGGUUGGUUGAAUGAAUAAAUGAAUUGUUCUCAGUUCUUUUUGGUGGUUUUCAAACGUGGCUGCAAAUUCUUUGAUGCUCUUCCGUUGAAAGGUAACAUCUGCAUCCCCCUCCC